rnacentral:rRNA from 1 species
UUAAGUUAUUAAGGGCGCACGGUGGAUGCCUUGGCACUAGAAGCCAAUGAAGGACGUUACUAACGACGAUAUGCUUUGGGGAGCUGUAAGUAAGCUUUGAUCCAGAGAUUUCCGAAUGGGGAAACCCAGCAUGAGUUAUGUCAUGUUAUCGAUAUGUGAAUACAUAGCAUAUCAGAAGGCACACCCGGAGAACUGAAACAUCUUAGUACCCGGAGGAAGAGAAAGAAAAUUCGAUUCCCUUAGUAGCGGCGAGCGAAACGGGAAGAGCCCAAACCAACAAGCUUGCUUGUUGGGGUUGUAGGACACUCUAUACGGAGUUACAAAGGACGACAUUAGACGAAUCAUCUGGAAAGAUGAAUCAAAGAAGGUAAUAAUCCUGUAGUCGAAAAUGUUGUCUCUCUUGAGUGGAUCCUGAGUACGACGGAGCACGUGAAAUUCCGUCGGAAUCUGGGAGGACCAUCUCCUAAGGCUAAAUACUCUCUAGUGACCGAUAGUGAACCAGUACCGUGAGGGAAAGGUGAAAAGCACCCCGGAAGGGGAGUGAAAUAGAACCUGAAACCGUGUGCUUACAAGUAGUCAGAGCCCGUUAAUGGGUGAUGGCGUGCCUUUUGUAGAAUGAACCGGCGAGUUACGAUUUGAUGCAAGGUUAAGCAGUAAAUGUGGAGCCGUAGCGAAAGCGAGUCUGAAUAGGGCGUUUAGUAUUUGGUCGUAGACCCGAAACCAGGUGAUCUACCCUUGGUCAGGUUGAAGUUCAGGUAACACUGAAUGGAGGACCGAACCGACUUACGUUGAAAAGUGAGCGGAUGAACUGAGGGUAGCGGAGAAAUUCCAAUCGAACCUGGAGAUAGCUGGUUCUCUCCGAAAUAGCUUUAGGGCUAGCCUCAAGUGAUGAUUAUUGGAGGUAGAGCACUGUUUGGACGAGGGGCCCCUCUCGGGUUACCGAAUUCAGACAAACUCCGAAUGCCAAUUAAUUUAACUUGGGAGUCAGAACAUGGGUGAUAAGGUCCGUGUUCGAAAGGGAAACAGCCCAGACCACCAGCUAAGGUCCCAAAAUAUAUGUUAAGUGGAAAAGGAUGUGGCGUUGCCCAGACAACUAGGAUGUUGGCUUAGAAGCAGCCAUCAUUUAAAGAGUGCGUAAUAGCUCACUAGUCGAGUGACACUGCGCCGAAAAUGUACCGGGGCUAAACAUAUUACCGAAGCUGUGGAUUGUCCUUUGGACAAUGGUAGGAGAGCGUUCUAAGGGCGUUGAAGCAUGAUCGUAAGGACAUGUGGAGCGCUUAGAAGUGAGAAUGCCGGUGUGAGUAGCGAAAGACGGGUGAGAAUCCCGUCCACCGAUUGACUAAGGUUUCCAGAGGAAGGCUCGUCCGCUCUGGGUUAGUCGGGUCCUAAGCUGAGGCCGACAGGCGUAGGCGAUGGAUAACAGGUUGAUAUUCCUGUACCACCUAUAAUCGUUUUAAUCGAUGGGGGGACGCAGUAGGAUAGGCGAAGCGUGCGAUUGGAUUGCACGUCUAAGCAGUAAGGCUGAGUAUUAGGCAAAUCCGGUACUCGUUAAGGCUGAGCUGUGAUGGGGAGAAGACAUUGUGUCUUCGAGUCGUUGAUUUCACACUGCCGAGAAAAGCCUCUAGAUAGAAAAUAGGUGCCCGUACCGCAAACCGACACAGGUAGUCAAGAUGAGAAUUCUAAGGUGAGCGAGCGAACUCUCGUUAAGGAACUCGGCAAAAUGACCCCGUAACUUCGGGAGAAGGGGUGCUCUUUAGGGUUAACGCUCAGAAGAGCCGCAGUGAAUAGGCCCAAGCGACUGUUUAUCAAAAACACAGGUCUCUGCUAAACCGUAAGGUGAUGUAUAGGGGCUGACGCCUGCCCGGUGCUGGAAGGUUAAGAGGAGUGGUUAGCUUCUGCGAAGCUACGAAUCGAAGCCCCAGUAAACGGCGGCCGUAACUAUAACGGUCCUAAGGUAGCGAAAUUCCUUGUCGGGUAAGUUCCGACCCGCACGAAAGGCGUAACGAUUUGGGCACUGUCUCAACGAGAGACUCGGUGAAAUCAUAGUACCUGUGAAGAUGCAGGUUACCCGCGACAGGACGGAAAGACCCCGUGGAGCUUUACUGUAGCCUGAUAUUGAAAUUCGGCACAGCUUGUACAGGAUAGGUAGGAGCCUUUGAAACGUGAGCGCUAGCUUACGUGGAGGCGCUGGUGGGAUACUACCCUAGCUGUGUUGGAUUUCUAACCCGCACCACUUAUCGUGGUGGGAGACAGUGUCAGGCGGGCAGUUUGACUGGGGCGGUCGCCUCCUAAAAGGUAACGGAGGCGCUCAAAGGUUCCCUCAGAAUGGUUGGAAAUCAUUCAUAGAGUGUAAAGGCAUAAGGGAGCUUGACUGCGAGACCUACAAGUCGAGCAGGGUCGAAAGACGGACUUAGUGAUCCGGUGGUUCCGCAUGGAAGGGCCAUCGCUCAACGGAUAAAAGCUACCCCGGGGAUAACAGGCUUAUCUCCCCCAAGAGUUCACAUCGACGGGGAGGUUUGGCACCUCGAUGUCGGCUCAUCGCAUCCUGGGGCUGUAGUCGGUCCCAAGGGUUGGGCUGUUCGCCCAUUAAAGCGGUACGCGAGCUGGGUUCAGAACGUCGUGAGACAGUUCGGUCCCUAUCCGUCGUGGGCGUAGGAAAUUUGAGAGGAGCUGUCCUUAGUACGAGAGGACCGGGAUGGACAUACCUCUGGUGUACCAGUUGUCGUGCCAACGGCAUAGCUGGGUAGCUAUGUGUGGACGGGAUAAGUGCUGAAAGCAUCUAAGCAUGAAGCCCCCCUCAAGAUGAGAUUUCCCAACUUCGGUUAUAAGAUCCCUCAAAGAUGAUGAGGUUAAUAGGUUCGAGGUGGAAGCAUGGUGACAUGUGGAGCUGACGAAUACUAAUCGAUCGAAGACUUAAUCAA